AACCCAUGAUGUGGGCACCGGCUAAGAAGGUCCUUCAAUUGUUCAUGUACCUCAAAUAGUGUUUGAGACUUUUCUUGCUUAAAUGCUAAGAUCUCUUGUAUGAUCUU